rnacentral:rRNA from 1 species
UUCUUCUCUCUGAUUCAAGUAGAAAUACAAAUGGAAAAAUUCGAAGGGUAUUCAGAAAAACAUAAAUCUCAUCAACAAUACUUCGUCUACCCACUUCUCUUUCAGGAAUAUAUUUAUGCAUUUGCCCACGAUUAUGGAUUAAAUGGUUCUGAACCUGUGGAAAUAGUUGUUAGUUGUAAUAACAAGAAAUUUAGUUUUACGGUAUAG